CAUCACUACGCUAGAUGCAUAUCAAUAAGCGGAGGAAAAGAAACUAACAAGGAUUCCCUUAGUAACGGCGAGUGAAGCGGGAAGAGCUCAAAUUUGAAAUCUUCAAGGUUUUACCUUGACGAAUUGUAGUUUAAAGAAGUGUUUUCUGUUGGAGUUUUGGUAAAAGUUCUUUGGAAUAGGACAUCAUAGAGGGUGAGAAUCCCGUAUUUGACCAUUAUUUCCAGCUGUGUGAUACACUUUCAAAGAGUCGGAUUGUUUGGGAAUGCAGUCCAAAAUGGGUGGUAAAUUUCAUCUAAAGCUAAAUACUGGCGAGAGACCGAUAGCGAACAAGUACCGUGAGGGAAAGAUGAAAAGAACUUUGAAAAGAGAGUUAAACAGUACGUGAAAUUGUCAAAAGGGAAGCGUUUGACACCAGUGUUGUUUUCUCGAAAAUCAAUUAAAAAUGGAUGGGAUUUUGUGUUGUAUUGACUUUAUCAGCUUUCUGCACUUUUUUCCUAUCUUUUUUAAUGCACUUUUCGUUUAACAAGUCAACAUCAAUUUCUUUUGUUGUAAAAGAGUCAUUGGAAGGUGGCUUUCUUUUCGGAGAAAGUGUUUAUAGCCUUUGGCUUCUGCAAUCGGAGAGAUUGAGGUCUGCAGCGUAGAUCCUUCGGGGUUAGAUACAUUUGUGCUAAGUUAUAGCCUUUCAUAGACAACUUGUUGACUAUGAUCAGUCAUGUAGCUUACUCGCUUAUGCUAUUUUACCUACGCUUAGGAUGUUGAUAUGCAUGACUGAUAU
rnacentral:rRNA from 1 species